UCAGAUUAAAGUGGUAGUUGCUUGUUGUGCUUUGCACAAUUGGAUAUUAGAAAAUGGUCCAUAUGAUUAUGUUGUGGAUGAGGCGACAUGGUAUGACAAUCUCCCUACGAGUACUGGGCGGGUUCGUGAUCAAGAGGCUGACAUAUGUGAGUGGGCUGCCAAGCAAGAUUUAAUCGCUCAGCAAAUGUGGACAGAUAGAGAGAGUGCACGUGACAAUGAGGCUGAUGCUAUCCCAGCUUAGUAUCUUUGAUGUAUUUCCACGUGAUGGAACAUUUGAAGGAUGUACUGUACCUUUGAUGUAUUUCCAUGUGAGGGAACAUUUGAAGGAUGUACUGUACCUUUGAUGUAUUUCCAUGUGAGGGAACAUUUGAAGGAUGUGAUGUACCUUUGAUGUAUUUCCAUGCGAGGGAAAAAUUGAACGAUGUAGUGUUUCUAUUUUAAUGACUUUGUGUAAAUUAUUGUAUCCUCGUAAUAUUGUUUGACUUAUUUCAAUUUAAUCUAGUCUCUCUGUCCUAUUAAAUAGGUUUAGUUCUGUCCUACUGUAAG
rnacentral:lncRNA from 1 species